rnacentral:rRNA from 2 species
GACGAACGCUGGCGGCGCGCCUACACAUGCAAGUCGAACGGAGUUAUGGCCAACACCGGGUUUUCGAGCGAAGGCUUGAAGAUCGGGUGUUGGACAUAAUUCAGUGGCGGACGGGUGAGUAACGCGUGAGUAACCUGCCCUUCAGAGGGGGAUAACGUCGGGAAACUGACGCUAAUACCGCAUGAUAUGUCGGGGUGACAUCACACUGACAUCAAAGGAGAGAUCCGCUGAAGGAUGGACUCGCGUCCGAUUAGGUAGUUGGCGGGGUAACGGCCCACCAAGCCCGCGAUCGGUAGCCGGACUGAGAGGUUGGCCGGCCACAUUGGGACUGAGACACGGCCCAGACUCCUACGGGAGGCAGCAGUGGGGGAUAUUGCACAAUGGAGGAAACUCUGAUGCAGCGACGCCGCGUGAGGGAAGAAGGUCUUCGGAUUGUAAACCUCUGUCUUCAGGGACGAAAUGGUGAGUAAUCACCUCUGACGGUACCUGAGGAGGAAGCCACGGCUAACUACGUGCCAGCAGCCGCGGUAAUACGUAGGUGGCGAGCGUUGUCCGGAAUUACUGGGUGUAAAGGGUGCGCAGGCGGGGUGACAAGUUGGAUGUGAAAUUCCGGGGCUCAACUUCGGAGUUGCAUUCAAAACUGUUGCUCUUGAGUGAGGUAGAGGCAGGCGG